ensembl:rRNA 5S_rRNA 5S ribosomal RNA
UUCUAAAGCCAUACCACUCUGAACGUGCCUGAUCAUGUCUGAUCUUGGAAGCUAAGCAGGGUUGGGCCUGGUUAGUACUUGAAUGGGAGACUGCUUGGGGACUAUCAGGUGCUGUAGGCU